rnacentral:tRNA from 1 species
AGCCAAGCGGUAAGGCACUGGCCUUUGGAGCCAGCAUUCGAGGUUCGAAUCCUUCCGCCCCA